GAUGAACGCUGGCGGCGUGCUUAACACAUGCAAGCCGAACGAUGAAGCCCAGCUUGCUGGGUGGAUUAGUGGCGAACGGGUGAGUAACACGUGAGUAACCUGCCCUUGACUCUGGGAUAAGCCUGGGAAACUGGGUCUAAUACUGGAUAUGACUUCUCAUCGCAUGGUGGGGGGUGGAAAGAUUUAUUGGUCUUGGAUGGACUCGCGGCCUAUCAGCUUGUUGGUGAGGUAAUGGCUCACCAAGGCGACGACGGGUAGCCGGCCUGAGAGGGUGACCGGCCACACUGGGACUGAGACACGGCCCAGACUCCUACGGGAGGCAGCAGUGGGGAAUAUUGCACAAUGGGCGCAAGCCUGAUGCAGCGACGCCGCGUGAGGGAUGACGGCCUUCGGGUUGUAAACCUCUUUCAGUAGGGAAGAAGCGAGAGUGACGGUACCUGCAGAAGAAGCGCCGGCUAACUACGUG
rnacentral:rRNA from 1 species